ensembl:lncRNA
GAAGGGCCUCCCCAACAAGGCUUCCUGGACCAGCCACGGAGAGGCCUCACUGGCCGUCAGCUCCGUCUGUGUGCUCUUCCCACAGGCAUCCUGGAGGCGGGGAGGGAGCUCGGGGGCGUCUUCCGUGUGCGCCGGGCACUGACUAUGUGCUGAGCACAAAGUAGGAGAUGUGAGCCUAACACUCAAGCAGUCUCUGUGCUUCCCAGUCAGUGCUAGUGGUAAAGAACCCGCCUGGCAAUGCAGGAGAAGCAAGAGACGCGGGUUUGAUCCCUGAGUCGGAAAGCUUGCCUGGAGGAGGGCAUGGCAACCCUCUCCUGUAUGCUAGCCUGGAGAAUCCCAUGGACAGAGGAGCCCAUACAGCCCACAGGGUUGCAACGAGUCAGAUACAACUUAGCUCUAUGCAAGAAGUUUCCAACCUACUGAGAAAAGGAAAAAAAAAAAAACCAAGCCAAGUUUCUUCAAGCAUGCAAUUCCAUGCCCUGGGGAGCUUAUUCUACAGAAUCCAGGUGGGUGUGGAGAGACCCCUGAGCGCUGGAGGAGGACAUGCUUCCUGGUGAAGAUGCAACCUGAGGUUGGCCAGGAAAAACCAGCAGAAGGGAUACAUCCACUGUACAAAUAAAUCCAAUUCUAAAAUACUACUGUUGAACUUACUAGAAAUGUCCCAAGAGCAAAUGCAGGUGCUAAUGAGUAUACAGAACUUGUAAAGGAAUAAAAUGUAGAAAUGUAUUAAAGGGGAAAGAUGGGAAGAAGGGCCAAAGGUGACCAAGAAAGAAGUUAUUGGAAGAGGAAGAAUGUCAGAAAGGCUGGCAGCCAGACAGAGUCCAGGCCCGCAGGGUAUUCUAGGGACAGCAGGAGUCUCCGCAUCCACCCCUAGCUUAGGAGAACAAAGAAAGACCUGAGCCCAUGGAGCAGGCAGCAGAGAGGAUCCGUGUCCCUCAAGUGUCCCAGCCAACGUGCACCGUGGAGACCCCCUCUCUUAGGCCCAGUGUUUUGUUUCUGUGGGAUCUCAGUUCCCCAACUAGGGUUUGAACUCGCAGCCCCUGCAUUGGAAACAUGGAGUCUUAACCACUGGACCGCCAGGGAAAUCUCUUAACUCUCUCUGACAGAGCCGAUACCCCAGCAGAGCAAAGACAUGGUGGAGGCAGACCUUAUCCAGAUGCUAGCAGGGCGGCUGAUUAAGGCGCUCAUUUAAAUCCCAGGGGAAUCCAUCUGAAAUGAUGUCCUCAUGCUGAUAGGAUUCGGUCAGCGUCUCCCGAGUGUUUUAUGGGUUCCACCAGAUAACCCUCUCCACACAUAAAAAGAUAUUCCACAGUCUUAACAAUUCACUUGGCACAAUAAUAAAGACUCUGAGAACUUUGUUUUUUUUUUUUUUUUACAAGUAAGCCUAUUAAUAUUGAGAGAAACAGUUCUUCCAUGAGACGCGUUGUGCAAGCACACCGUUGGCUGCGUAGCUGCACGAAGGGGCCACUGCUCAGCAUCAGCUGCUGGGAACGUCUCUAAUCCAGAUCAGCAGGCGGUGAGCUAGAACCUGGUCAGCCCAACUUUUUCUUUUUUAAUCAGUGACUUGUGUAAGGGGUAAAAUCCAUGCUUAUCAGUGAUUGCUGGAAAGACAGUUAAUGAAACAGAAGGCAGGGUCAGAAAUCAAAAUCACCUGAGCAGUGACUACUCGGUGCUCCUUUCUGGGCGGCAUUUACAUUAACUGGACAGGAGUGUUCCAGGGGAGACCUGACUCAGCAACCGGUCACGCCUGGCCCCCAAGCACAAGCUGAGCCAAGACCAUAAGAGUAACACAGCCCAGAGCCACGUGGACAGAAGUUUGCUGCCCAGACCUUGUCUGGAGUGCACCUUCCAGCCUAGACGCUACAUUCAGAGAGGGCCACCUGAGACUGAAUUACAUGCGCAAGAGUUUCGACAGUGUGAAAAAUUCCAUUAUAUGAAAACUAUUUGAAUCUAUUAAAUACGCUUAGUGAGAAUAAGAGAAGACCAAGAGGCGGAGGUACUGAUUCGUCUUCGACGUAUAAACAGUCUUCUUCUGCACAUUGUACAAAACUCGGUCGAGUGCUCGGUCUGGAUAGUGAACCAAGGGCAGGCGUAGAAUCU